AUUGAACGCUGGCGGCAGGCCUAACACAUGCAAGUCGGACGGUAGCACAGAGGAGCUUGCUCUUCGGGUGACGAGUGGCGGACGGGUGAGUAAUGUCUGGGGAUCUGCCCGAUAGAGGGGGAUAACCACUGGAAACGGUGGCUAAUACCGCAUAACGUCGCAAGACCAAAGAGGGUGACCUUCGGGCAUCUCACUAUCGGAUGAACCCAGAUGGGAUAAGCUAGUAGGCGGGGUAACGGCCCACCUAGGCGACGAUCCCUAGCUGGUCUGGGAGGAUGACCAGCAACACUGGAACUGAGAAACGGUCCAGACUCCUACGGGAGGCAGCAGUGGGGAAUAUUGCACAAUGGGCGCAAGCCUGAUGCAGCCAUGCCGCGUGUAUGAAGAAGGCCUUCGGGUUGUAAAGUACUUUCAGCGGGGAGGAAGGCGAUGUGGUUAAUAACCGCGUCGAUUGACGUUACCCGCAGAAGAAGCACCGGCUAACUCCGUGCCAGCCGCCGCCGUAA
rnacentral:rRNA from 1 species